rnacentral:lncRNA from 1 species
AAGUUAGUGACUUUGUUAGGAUUUAAUGAUUAAGUAACACACAGAACAUUAACAAAGAUAAGGAGGGACAUGAGUUCAAUGUGUCAUAAACAAAAGAGCUUAUAACAGUCAGAAUUUAUAACAACCUUUUAAUACAGGUAAAGAGGGUGUCUAAUUUAGGAGACCAAUUUAAAUGAAUGAAUAAUUGAUGGAUGAAUGUUUCUCUGUUGCAGUACACGGAGGAUCACGGACAGUCUUUGGGUCUGAGUGGAUGGGUGAAGAACACUAGACAAGGGACUGUGGUCGGACAAGUCCAGGGUCCACGAGAUCGAGUUAAUGACAUGUGAGUCCUAACCAACCAAUCAGAGAGCACUCAGUUGUUGAACCAACCAAUCAUAACACUAACCUUUACAAACGAACUAAUCAGAACACUUACCUUCCUAAACAGACCAAUCAAGGCCUGACUCCUCCUGUGUAACCUGGUCUCACCAGGUCUUGGUUUGAUGUGAACCUUGUCUCUGCCUUGCUCACUCAGUGUUCUUCUUUUGUUUUUUGUUUUUUUUGUUCUUUUAGGAAACACUGGCUAAAGAACGUUGGCAGUCCUAGUUCUCGGAUUGACCGAGUUGUCUUCUCAAACGAAAGAGACAUUCCUAAACUAGAGCUCCGCGGCUUUUCCACCCGCUACUGAGCAUGCUCAGUGACAUCACAGUUCAACAGCUGUCACUUCUGCAGAAAAACUUCAGCUCUCUGAAAGCAGAGCAGAUUCAGUCAGUCAGUUCAAUAAGUUGAUCCGUUCUGAAAUAUUUUAAACAGUCACACAGACAAAAAUUGACAAUAGGCCUUGUAGUAAAGCUCCACCAAAAGCCCAUUAGCCUAUCCUAACUCUGGCCCAUAUCAGCUGACAGCUCAGCUGAUUAUCUUCUAACAUCCAAUGGUCAAUUUUUUUGUUGUUGUUUUUUUUCUAUUUAAACAUCCUUAGGUUGCCCACUCUUUCUGCUUCCUCAAUAAACCACAUUGCAACCUGCCUCUACCCCAGCUCCCCCUUUUCCCGCCCUGGG